rnacentral:tRNA from 1 species
UAUAGUAAGGUGUUUUUGGCAUUUUGUAUUUUGGUUACAAGGGCGAGUUGUUUCUACUAUAG